rnacentral:rRNA from 2 species
UUGACCUCGGAUCAGGUAGGACUACCCGCUGAACUUAAGCAUAUCAAUAAGCGGAGGAAAAGAAACCAACAGGGAUUGCCCCAGUAACGGCGAGUGAAGCGGCAACAGCUCAGAUUUGGAAUCUGGGCCCUAGGGCCCGAGUUGUAAUCUGGAGAGGAUGUUUCUGGCGCGGCGCCUUCCGAGUUCCCUGGAACGGGACGCCGGAGAGGGUGAGAGCCCCGUACGGUUGGACGCCUAGCCUUUGUGAAACUCCUUCGACGAGUCGAGUAGUUUGGGAAUGCUGCUCAAAAUGGGAGGUAAAUUUCUUCUAAAGCUAAAUACCGGCCA